CGGCGGACCAGGCCGGGCCGGAGUUUUCGGGGUUCAGCCCGCGAGCGGGAGGACCGGGGAGGCGAGGGAGGAGGAAGGCGAGAAGGGCCAGACCAUGCGCUUCCCCCGGUGCAGAUCGCGGGAGAGCCCAAUCACGGGGCGAGCUGGACCUGGCUGUGAUCAUUUAUAAUCCUUGACUCCUCCGCUCCGCCACUUGUCAAGAUGACAGAGGGGUCAUCCGUGAAUAACACUUCACGCUGAUGAAUGGCUCUUGCCGGCUUUCGGCUCUGAUGAGGGGUCUGCCCGCCGCCGAUUGAAAACACUAAUGAACUUACUGCGCCAUUUGAAAUUCACACGCACCAACAAAAUGGGGGGUGGGCAUUUCAGGUCAGCUGAGUCACCCGAGGAGGUGGCAGUGCAAGACACUGCCGGGAAGACGGAUUCCGAGGCAGAAGGGUGUAAUUAAGGAUUUCCACCCCCGGUAGGCGGCCCGUCCUUUGCAGAGCCUCUGAAAAUGACCCGCGCCUUCCUUUCCACAGUGUUCUUUCGUCCGAGACCGAAAAGCGCAAAUGACCUUUGGACAGGGAAGGGAGGCAGUAAACACUCAGACUUCCUUACCAGCCCCUGGUGGGCACUGCAGCAGAACAAUUGUCUGCCCCCCAGGUUCAAGCACCUAGGCCUCCGCCCCGCAUCACCUGGCCAGGGGCGGACCCGGGAGUCCUCCGAAGGCUCCACUCCCCACUUUUACUACUCUUCUUUCCUCUCCAUUCUCCCCUCAGAUUAGCGGCCGGACACUGUCCCUGCCUCGAUUUUGUUUGCUGUGGGAGGGAAAAAAAAAGUUUGCUGCUCCUCCCAAGACACUGGCCACUUUCUACUCACUGAAGUUCCCACCGCAGCGCUGGCUCCCGGCUCCCUAGCUCCCGCCCCCUGUCUGCAGGAAAGCCCUCCCCCGGAGCUUCCGAAACUGCUGGAGGUUCCAGAGUUUUGUAGCUCCGAAUGGGCGACCUGAGCCGA
rnacentral:lncRNA from 1 species